CAGGGUACACAAACUAUUUAUCUGCCACACAGAGGGAUAAAUUCAGGCAGACAACAGCUGAGCGUGAAGGUGGUAUCAGCUUUUUCGAGACACCAGGGGGUCCGACCGAAAAGACCGAGCCCAAGCAAACCAAACCAAACCAAACCAAGCCAAACCGAAACGAGCGUAACGAGACCAAACCAGACCAGGCCAGACCAAGAGCCACCGAUCCGAUCCGAGCAGAACGGCACAGGAUAGACCGGACCAUCCAAUCCAUCCAGCACAGAUGAGAGAGCACGGAAAAGCGAGAAAAGCGGGAAAAGCGAUGCACUGAAGCCUCCGUCGACGGCCGAGCCAAAGGAGCAACUUUUACGUGAAAAUGUUCAAAAUUUAAUCAAAUUAAAGUGAAUGCGCCGCAGGCGAACAUAUUUCGCACGCCGAACGAAAGAGACGGCAACAGGGCGAGCGAAAGAGAGGGAAGAGAGGCAAGAGGCAGGAUGUGCGACGAGGAUAACAGGCUGGCAACUCGGCGGCGCAAGUUUAAUAUCGAACAUUUGGAAUAUGCAUAUCAAAUAACUAUCAAUGACGUCCAAGGCCUGCCACUUGCAAAUGCUGAAGUCUCGCAACAAAUUAUCAGCGCAAACGUCAGCGGCACCUGUCGUGUCCUGUGCCACGCCCCCUUGGUAAUAUAUAUACCCGCCCCCUCGAGAUAUCACCCUCUGGAAUCUCCGAAAACUCACCUUCAAUACUCCCCCGUCUGUCCGAAAGUUGGGAAAAAUAAAGAAAGCAGACAACGAAUAUUGGCAUAGAAAAUCAAAAAUAAAAUUCGAAAGAGACGGGGAGUUGUGGGGUAGAAAGAGGUAGAUAUAUAUAUAUAUAUGGUAGGGCAGGAGAUGGAGAUGGAGAAAAAAUGAAUUGAGAGUGGGACAAAGAGCAGAUGAUAUUCUGUUGACGUUGAUGGCAACACUUGCAAUUUUGCAAUUUGAUUGUUUUGGCAAAGGCUAAAUAAAUAUUUAUGCAAAGUGGG